rnacentral:tRNA from 1 species
UCCUUGAUAGUAUAGUGGUGAGUAUCUCCGCUUGUCACGCGGGAGACCGGGAUUCGAUUCCCGUCGGGGAG